rnacentral:rRNA from 1 species
UUGGCCUCGAAUCAGGUAGGGAUACCCGCUGAACUUAAGCAUAUCAAUAAGCGGAGGAAAAGAAACCAACAGGGAUUGCCUUAGUAACUGCGAGUGAAGCGGCAAGAGCUCAAAUUUGAAAUCUGGCGCCUUUGGCGUCCGAGUUGUAAUUUGGAGAGGCAUCUUCGGGUGCGGCGCCGGCCUAAGUUCCUUGGAACAGGACGUCAUAGAGGGUGAGAAUCCCGUUCUCGGCUGGCUGUCCGCGUCCAUGUGAAGUGUCUUCGACGAGUCGAGUUGUUUGGGAAUGCAGCUCAAAAUGGGUGGUAAACUCCAUCUAAAGCUAAAUACUGGCGAGAGACCGAUAGCGCACAAGUAGAGUGAUCGAAAGAUGAAAAGCACUUUGAAAAGAGAGUUAAAAAGUACGUGAAAUUGUUGAAAGGGAAGCGCUUGAGACCAGACUCGGCGGGAGGUAUUCAUCGUCCCUUCUGGGGCGUGCACUUGCCUCUCGUCGGGCCAGCAUCGGUUGCGGCGGCGGGAUAAAGACCCGGGGAACGUGGCUGCUCUCGGGCAGUGUUAUAGCCCCGGGUGUCAUGCCGCCUGCUGCGACCGAGGACCGCGCUUCGGCUAGGAUGC